rnacentral:rRNA from 1 species
GACGAACGCUGGCGGCGUGCUUAACACAUGCAAGUCGAACGGAAAGGCCCUGCUUUUGUGGGGUGCUCGAGUGGCGAACGGGUGAGUAACACGUGAGUAACCUGCCCUUGACUUUGGGAUAACUUCAGGAAACUGGGGCUAAUACCGGAUAGGAGCUCCUGCUGCAUGGUGGGGGUUGGAAAGUUUCGGCGGUUGGGGAUGGACUCGCGGCUUAUCAGCUUGUUGGUGGGGUAGUGGCUUACCAAGGCUUUGACGGUUAGCCGGCCUGAGAGGGUGACCGGCCACAUUGGGACUGAGAUACGGCCCAGACUCCUACGGGAGGCAGCAGUGGGGAAUAUUGCACAAGGGGCGGAAGCCUGAUGCAGCAACGCCGCGUGCGGGAUGACGGCCUUCGGGUUGUAAACCGCUUUCGCCUGUGACGAAGCGUGAGUGACGGUAAUGGGUAAAGAAGCACCGGCUAACUACGUG